GGAAGGAUCAUUAUUGAAUACGAAUCGGUUCUGAUGCUGGCCCUUCACCGGGCAUGUGCUCGCUCCGAAUCUGUUUAUCUUCUCUUGUGCACCUCUUGUAGUCUUUGAAACAAAAGUGAACCUCUCGCAGCAAUGCGGUCUGGGGGACUUGAGCCUAACACGCUCUUCCCCUGCUUGCUUUCUUUUCUUGGCUAUGUUUUCAUAUACACUAUAAAGUUACAGAAUGUCUUUUAAGGAUUGUCGCUCGCGCGCAGUCAUUAAACCUAUACAACUUUCAGCAACGGAUCUCUUGGCUCUCCCAUCGAUGAAGAACGCAGCGAAAUGCGAUAAGUAAUGUGAAUUGCAGAAUUCAGUGAAUCAUCGAAUCUUUGAACGCACCUUGCGCCCUUUGGUAUUCCGAAGGGCAUGCCUGUUUGAGUGUCAUUAAAUUCUCAACCUUGCUCGCUUUUACCGGCUUGAGUGAGGCUUGGACGUGAGGGCUUUGCUGGCUUCCUUAAGUGGAUGGUCUGCUCCCUUUAAAUGCAUUAGUGGGAUCUCUUGUGGACCGUCACUUGGUGUGAUAAUUAUCUACGCCUCGUCGACUUUGAAGCAAACUUAUGGGAACCUGCUUAUAACCGUCUCGCAAGGGACAACUUUCUGACAUUUUGACCUCAAAUCAGGUAGGACUACCCGCUGAACUUAAGCAUAUCAAUAAGCGGAGGAAAAGAAACUAACAAGGAUUCCCCUAGUAACUGCGAGUGAAGCGGGAAAAGCUCAAAUUUAAAAUCUGGCGGUCCCUGUGGCCGUCCG
rnacentral:rRNA from 1 species